AUUCCAGCUCCAAUAGCGUAUAUUAAAGUUGUUGCAGUUAAAAAGCUCGUAGUUGGAUCUCAGGGUGAGCUCAGUUGGUCGGCCUAAUUGGUCAGAACUGGCUGACUCUCCCUUGUUUCUGAACCCCGGUCGGAGUUAAUUCUUCGUUCGUGGACUUCAGAUCGUUUACCUUGAAAAAAUUAGAGUGUUCAAAGCGGGCGUUUGCUUGAAUACAUUAGCAUGGAAUAAUGGAAUAGGACCCUGGUUCUAUUUUGUUGGUUUUGAGGACCAGAGUAAUGAUUAAUAGGGAUAGUUGGGGGCAUUCAUAUUUAAUUGUCAGAGGUGAAAUUCUUGGAUUUAUGAAAGAUGAACUUCUGCGAAAGCAUUUGCCAAGGAUGUUUUCAUUA
rnacentral:rRNA from 1 species